UUCCUAUCCUAUUCCUUGUUUUGCGUGACUUUCAAUUUCCUGGCAUGCUUUUAAAAUGCGCUGCACACAAGCAAAUGGCUCCUCAGGCAAGCGAGGCCCAGCAGGCAGCGUGGCUGGACUUUCUGCUCCUCUUAGGCUUGUUUGAAGAAGGUGAAGAAGGAGAAGAGGAGGAAUUAGAAGGUGACGAGGAGGGAGAAGACGAGGAUGAUGCGGAAAUUAACCCCAAGGUGUAAUUUUUGUCUGUUAAUCAUUCAUACGUUUCUAGAAGGAACCCAGCCAGCCGGCGGAAUGCAAGCAGCAGUAGGAAGCGGAGGCGGGUGCCUGGCAGACCGGCUGUCGGGACUCCAGGCCUGUGGGCGGGGCCUCGGUCCUUGCCGCAGCACAAUCCCGUGGACAGAGCUUACUCCAUCUAACUCGUUUUCAAGUGCAUGAUUUUCACUUUCACUUUUCCUUUUUCCUUAUUAUUUUGCUUAACUU
rnacentral:lncRNA from 1 species